rnacentral:lncRNA from 1 species
UGUAACUUUGGAUAUUUUAGGCUUAUCGUGGCUGUAGAUAUUUUUGUUUUCGAGGCAUGCACAAAAUGCCAUUGGCUGCUUGCUACUGUGGUGUUCAUGCACCAAGCUGUACUGGUCGAAUUUAUUCCGCGCAGAGCAUCAUGCUCCCAUAAAGAGCAAUCUAAAAUUGAAGUUGGGUUGUACGCUUCAUGAAAGGGAAAAAUGUAACUUGUAGUGUUUUCCAUGGCUGCUG